UACGAAGGGGGCUAGCGUUGCUCGGAAUCACUGGGCGUAAAGGGUGCGUAGGCGGGUCUUUAAGUCAGGGGUGAAAUCCUGGAGCUCAACUCCAGAACUGCCUUUGAUACUGAGGAUCUUGAGUUCGGGAGAGGUGAGUGGAACUGCGAGUGUAGAGGUGAAAUUCGUAGAUAUUGGGAAGAACACCGGUGGCGAAGGCGGCCAACUGGACCACAACUGACGCUGAGGCGCGAAAGCGUGGGGAGCAAACAGG
rnacentral:rRNA from 1 species